rnacentral:rRNA from 1 species
CAGAAACUACAAAGAAUUGACGGGGGCCCGGCACAAGCGGAGGAGCAUGUGGUUUAAUUCGAUGAUACGCGAGGAACCUUACCUGGGCUCGAACGUAAGAUGACUGUAGGUGAAAGCUUACAUCUCUUCGGAGCAUUUUACGAGGUGCUGCAUGGUUGUCGUCAGCUCGUGCCGUGAGGUGUCGGGUUAAGUCCCAUAACGAGCGCAACCCCUGCAUUCAGUUGCCAUCGGGUAAUGCCGGGCACUCUGGAAGGACUGCCAUCGACAAGAUGGAGGAAGGUGGGGAUGACGUCAAGUCAUCAUGGCCCUUAUGUCCAGGGCGACACACGUGCUACAAUAGCCGGCACAACGGGAAGCGAGUUCGCGAGGACGAGCGGAUCCCUCAAAGCCGGUCGCAGUUCGGAUUGAAGUCUGCAACUCGACUUCAUGAAGCUGGAAUCGCUAGUAAUCGUGGAUCAGCCAAGCCGCGGUGAAUACGUUCCCGGGCCUU